rnacentral:tRNA from 1 species
GCCGAGGUGGCGAAAUUGGUAGACGCGCUAGCCUUAGGAGCUAGUGAAGCAAUUCAUGGAGGUUCGAGUCCUCUCCUCGGCA